GAAUCCCAGUAUAGAAAUGAGUGCUGCCGUCACAUCUAAAUAACAGUAGAUAAAUGCAUAACAAUAGCUCUGAGUCUGCUGCCACAGAUUAGAGCCAAGAACCAAAGAUGGACAAUGUAACAGAUGAAUACUGAUAUCAUAGAACAGAAGAAUCAGUGUCAGAAGAUGACAAAAGGAGGAACUAUGGUGGUGUAUACGUUGGUCUGCCAUCAGAGGCUGCUACCAUGGCUCCCAGUCAGACAAAGACUGAACCUAAAG